AAGAAAUACAGGGCCACCUUCACGAAGCCCGUGGCUCUCAGCCUUCUCCCAGCUCCUUCCCGCCCGGCCUUCACCGGCACCUGCGCAGGGAGCCCAGAGCAGGGCCGGAGACGGAGUCUUGGGCUCACCCCCAUAUCCCCGGGUUGGAACGCUGGUGAUUCAGCCUGCGGUGCUGGGUGGGGGUGGGUCCCUCCGGGCCCAGACGACCGGAAGUAGCUUUGGGUGGGGCCACUCUAGGAUGGCGGGAAACGGCUCGUUACGCGAACUCGUUGGUCCCAGGGCCGGGAAAUGAAGAAGCCCUCAGAAGAGAUGGUGGCACUCUACCGUCCUUCUACUUUAGCGAAAGGCAUGUAACAGCUUCAGUGUCGGCCUGGCGUUGAUGAUCUGGGGACAUGGGUUCAAUCCCUGGUCCAGGAAGAUCCCACAUGCCGCGGAGCAAAUAAGCCCGUGCGCCACAACUACUGAGCCUGCGCUCUAGAGCCCACGAGCCACAACUUCUGAGCCCACGUGCCACAACUACUGAAGCCCGGGUGCCUGGAGCCUGUGCUCUGCAACAAGAGAAGCCACGACAAUGAGAAGCCCGCGUACCGCAACGAAGUGUAGCUCCAGCUUGCCGCAACUAGAGAAAACCUGCGCACAGCAACGAAGACCCAACGCAGCCAAAACUAAAUAAAAAUUUAAAAAUAAACUUAUUUUAAAAACAAAAA